GGCAAGUGAUCAGAUGGUCAAAUGUGCUGGCCGUAGGGUGUUGCUAGCUCCGUCAUUGAGGCAGCCCUUUGCAAGUUAAAUACCAAAAUUGUCAGUUGUAGCUGCACCAUAUCUUGUUCAGUUGAAGCAUUUUUAUGCAAACAUGGGAUGCUUAUCAGCUAAGAAUGGGGUUUGGAUUUUGAUGUCCUGUGUAACAGAAAAAACCAGUACUAAAAUCAAACAAUGUUGUAGAAAGGAAGAAGGAAGCAAUAGUUGAACAGGGAAAGAUGAAUGGGAAGAGAAGGAAUAAAGAAGGAAGCAGAAAACUAGAUUGUACCAGAAUUGGAAUCUGUGAAUAUUUUAGAUGUUGUUGUACUGUAAACAUUUGUAUUAGUUGUUGAAGCCUAGAAUUUGCAUGCAUUUCUACCCAAGUUACCAACAUGUUACAUUGUGUGCUAUCUAAUCGAUAGAUUCCUGUCCACCUGUGAGGCACUACAAACCAAUGGCAGGGGAAAAAGUCAGCAAAAGCUUAC
rnacentral:lncRNA from 1 species